GACGGAAGGUGCAAGCGUUGCUCGGAAUCACUGGGCGUAAAGGGUGCGUAGGCGGCCGCGCAAGUCUGGCGUGAAAGCCCCGGGCUCAGCCCGGGAAGGGCGCUCGAAACGGCGCGGCUCGAGUGCCGGAGGGGAGAGUGGAAUUCCUGGUGUAGCGGUGAAAUGCGUAGAUAUCAGGAGGAACACCUGCGGUGUAGACGGCUUACUGGACCAUAACUGACGCUGAGGCACGAAAGCGUGGGUAGCAAACAGG
rnacentral:rRNA from 1 species